AACCUAACUAGGGCAUAAAAAAAAAUCAAGGUAUGGAAAAACUAAAACCUAGCGAGAGCAGAAACGAGCAGAAGUGUGGUUGGCGCCGAUUAGGGUUCUUGGAGGAUGAGAAAAGAAA